rnacentral:rRNA from 1 species
GUGCCAGCCGCCGCGGUAAAACGUAGGGGACAAGCGUUAUCCGGAUUUACUGGGCGUAAAGCGCCCGUAGGCGGCUUUUUAAGUUGGACGUGAAAGCUCCCGGCUUAACUGGGAGAGGCCGUUCAAAACUGGAAGGCUGGAGUGAGGAAGAGGAGAGCGGAAUUCCCGGUGUAGUGGUGGAAUGCGUAGAGAUCGGGAGGAACACCAGUGGCGAAAGCGGCUCUCUGGUCCUAAACUGACGCUGAGGGGCGAAAGCGUGGGGAGCGAACGGGAUUAGAAACCCCUGUAGUCC